AACUAACUGAACACCCAGGGACCCCUGGCAGGCUCAUUUCCAACUUUGAUAUUUGAGCUCAAAAGUCACCUCCCUGGAGAGGCCUUCCUUGACCACUUAAUCUAAAAGAUUCUACAUAAUGAACACACAGAAACAGGCUUAACAAUUGGGUGUCGAUUUUAUUAGCCUACAACUGCCUCAUUAACCCCAGUUUUGCCUGCAUCCUCUGCGAUCUGGUCCUCCCAUGGCCUUAGGCUUCUGUGUGCUCUUUGGACAGCAAGCUGUGACACACCAAAGUUGCAAGAGCAGUCGGCAUGGAAAGAGAUUUCCAGCGGCUUCAGCAUAAUGCACACCUUGACUGCAGCUGGCACAGAGCAGCACAGGCCACAAGAACGUGCAGGGGGCCGUGUGACAAAAGCCAUAAGCCCUGAUAGCAGGGGAGCAGAGCUGCUGCUAUAGGAGGGAAACUACAGGGUGCACAAGAGCAGCGGCACAGCAGUCAGUGGAAUGAAGAGAGCCCGCUCAGACUGCAGAUGUCUAGAGAUGGAACCAGAAGCACGUUACCUAGCUAAUGCCCUCUCUCACCCCCUCUGAGAGCUCAGUUUCCUCAUUUGGGGAAAGGGUAGAAUAAAAGCACCCACUUCAUGGUAUUGUA